rnacentral:lncRNA from 1 species
CACCUGCAGCAUAUGGAAGUUCCCAGGAUAGGGGUCAAAUUGGAGCUGCAGCUGCCGGGCUACACCACAGCCACAGCAACGUGAGAUCCGAGCUACAUCUGUGACCUACACUGCAGCUCACAGCAAUGCCGGAUCCUUAAUGUACUGAGCAAGGCCAGGUAUAGAACCGGCAUCCUCAUGGAUACUAACAUCUCUCCCUUAAUGACCCUGUUUGCCAGUUCACACUUCUGCUAAUUUUCCAUUUAUCAUUAUCAAUACCACUUGAAGGUAUUGCUCUGAAAGUUAUUUGGUGAAGCCUACAAUUAAGUCAAUUAAACUAACAUUAACUGAGGGCUGACUCUGUGUGUAUGGAACUAGAAGAUAAAAUUCAUAAUCUAACAUAAAAGAAUUUUAUUAUCUUCAGCCUAUUAGUUAUAAGACAGAAUAUGAUUUAAGUAACAUAACUUCUAUUCUGCCUUACUUAUGACAGUAUUUGUUUGAUUUAAAAAGUUUUACAAAAGUAGGUGAUAAUGUGUCAAAUUUAUCAUUUACCCCAUAUUAGGCAACAGCUGUGUUGAAUGUACAAUCUGUUUUACCAGUUCCUACAAUCCUGUGUGAUAUCUUGAGUUGGUGUAUUUCUAAGCAUCCGUUUCAUCCACAUUGUACAACUUCUUGAAACAAGAACAAGAUUCUAUAUUCAUUCCAUAAACUUUCAUCUUGCUAUUCUCAGACCACUGUGCCAAAAUCCUUAUUAGAUCUUAAUUCAGCCAUUCAACAGAGUAGCUACAUUUCCUUAGUUUAUGUAUUUUGCUUAAUGUGAUAACCCUAUCAUUUCUAAAGUUCCCACAAAGUUGAGAGGCAGUUGACUCUUUUCUUAUUAAUACAGUAAAGGUAAUACACCUGGUAUUAAUCAGCAUUUAUUCAUUAUUUGCAUAUAUCUGUUUGAAUAUAAAUAUUUGCAUAUAUCUAUUAAUUUGCAUAUGUGUAUUUACUUAUAUUAUUUUCAUAUCAUUUCAAAAUUACAAUGGUUACAUAAGAUUUUAAAAGUAAAACAGACCCUAAAUAUUAAGGGAUGCUGUGAUGGUUAAUUUUGGUUUGUUUGGGGUUUUUUUUUUUUUUUGGUCUUUUUAGGGCUGUACCUACAGCACACAGAAGUUCCCAGGCUAGGGGUCAAAUCAGAGCUGUAGCCUCCAGCCUACAACCACAACCACAGCAUUGCAGGAUCCUAGCUGUGUCUGUGGCCUACAACACAGCUCAUGGCAAUGCUGUGAAUUUCAAGGAUUCCACUCAGGAUCCCUAACCCACUGAGUGAGGCCAGGAAUCGAACCUGCACCCUCAUGGACACUAGUUGGGUUUGUUACCGCUGAGCCACAACAGAACUCCCAAUGCUGGUUAAUUUUGGAUCAACUUUGCUAGACCA